AUUGUCCCUGGAUGCAUUGCAUUUGUCGCUGUUGUGCACAUGUGUGCCAGUAGGUGACAGAGAGGAGAGAGAUUUUGUCUAAGCUCUUUGACCUAUGAACACGUGAAUGAUUAGUCACCUAACACU
ensembl:snoRNA Gm24680 small nucleolar RNA SNORA17